rnacentral:piRNA from 1 species
UGUUGUUUCUUUAGACUAUGACCUGU